CUGGCUCAGGAUGAACGCUAGCUACAGGCUUAACACAUGCAAGUCGAGGGGCAGCAUUGGAGUAGCAAUACUCAGAUGGCGACCGGCGCACGGGUGAGUAACACGUAUCCAACCUGCCGCUUACUCGGGGAUAGCCUUUCGAAAGAAAGAUUAAUACCCGAUGGUAUAAAGAGUUCGCAUGUUCUCUUUAUUAAAGAAUUUCGGUAAGCGAUGGGGAUGCGUUCCAUUAGAUUGUUGGCGGGGUAACGGCCCACCAAGUCUACGAUGGAUAGGGGUUCUGAGAGGAAGGUCCCCCACAUUGGAACUGAGACACGGUCCAAACUCCUACGGGAGGCAGCAGUGAGGAAUAUUGGUCAAUGGACGAGAGUCUGAACCAGCCAAAGUAGCGUGAAGGAUGACUGCCCUAUGGGUUGUAAACUUCUUUUAUAAGGGAAUAAAGUGAGGGACGUGUCCCUUUUUGUAUGUACCUUAUGAAUAAGGAUCGGCUAACUCCGUGCCAGCCGCCGC
rnacentral:rRNA from 1 species